UACGUAGGGGGCAAGCGUUGUCCGGAUUUAUUGGGCGUAAAGAGCGUGUAGGCGACCAAGCGGGUCCGCUGUGAAAACUCGAGGCUCAACCUCGAGACGUCGGUGGAAACCGUUUGGCUAGAGUCCGGAAGAGGAGAGUGGAAUUCCUAGUGUAGAGGUGAAAUUCGUAGAUAUUAGGAAGAACACCAGUGGCGAAGGCGGCUCACUGGCCCGGUACUGACGCUGAGGCGCGAAAGCGUGGGGAGCAAACAGG
rnacentral:rRNA from 1 species